AUGAACGCUGGCGGCGUGCCUAAUACAUGCAAGUCGCGCGAACAGACGAGGAGCUUGCUCCUCUGACGUUAGCGGCGGACGGGUGAGUAACACGUGGAUAACCUACCUAUAAGACUGGGAUAACUUCGGGAAACCGGAGCUAAUACCGGAUAAUAUAUUGAACCGCAUGGUUCAAUAGUGAAAGACGGUUUUGCUGUCACUUAUAGAUGGAUCCGCGCCGCAUUAGCUAGUUGGUAAGGUAACGGCUUACCAAGGCAACGAUGCGUAGCCGACCUGAGAGGGUGAUCGGCCACACUGGAACUGAGACACGGUCCAGACUCCUACGGGAGGCAGCAGUAGGGAAUCUUCCGCAAUGGGCGAAAGCCUGACGGAGCAACGCCGCGUGAGUGAUGAAGGUCUUCGGAUCGUAAAACUCUGUUAUUAGGGAAGAACAAAUGCGUAAGUAACUAUGCACGUCUUGACGGUACCUAAUCAGAAAGCCACGGCUAACUACGUG
rnacentral:rRNA from 1 species